CGUUUUGCUGGUGUUGGAGGGAAGAUGAUGUCUAAGCAAGGGUUGAAUCCUUUGUUCCCGAUGGAGGAUAUUGCAGUAAUGGGCAUUUGGGAGCUGCUGCCGUAUCUUAAUCAAUUUAGAGUUAGGCUCAAGCAAACUAUAGAAGCUGCUCUUUCUUUUAAGCCUCAUGUCGUACUCACUGUAGACGCUAAAGGAUUUUCCUUCCGUUUCCUAAAGCAUUUG
rnacentral:misc_RNA from 1 species